rnacentral:rRNA from 1 species
UACGUAGGGUGCGAGCGUUGUCCGGAAUUAUUGGGCGUAAAGGGCUCGUAGGCGGUCUGUCGCGUCUGCCGUGAAAACCCGAGGCUUAACCUCGGGCUGGCGGUGGAUACGGGCAGACUAGAGGUAGGUAGGGGAGAAUGGAAUUCCCGGUGUAGCGGUGAAAUGCGCAGAUAUCGGGAGGAACACCGGUGGCGAAGGCGGUUCUCUGGGCCUUACCUGACGCUGAGGAGCGAAAGCAUGGGGAGCAAACAGG